GAUGAACGCUGGCGGCGUGCCUAAUACAUGCAAGUCGAGCGAACAGACGAGGAGCUUGCUCCUCGGACGUUAGCGGCGGACGUGUGAGUAACACGUGGAUAACCUACCUGUAAUACUGGGAUCACUUCGGGAAACCGGCGCUAAUACCGGAUAAUCUAUUGAACCGCAUGGGUCAAUGGUGAAAGACGGUUUUGCUGUCACUUCUAGAUGGAUCCGCGCCGCAUUGGCUAGUUGGUGAGUUAACGGCUUACCAAGGCAACGAUGCGUAGCCGACGUGAGGGGGGGAACGCCCACACUGGAAGUGACAGACGGCCCUGAGACCGACGUGCGGCAGCAGUAGCGAAUCGUCCGCACAGUGCGAAAUCUUGACGGAUGAACGGAGCGUGAGUGAAGAAGCGCCUCGGACGGUAAAACGCCCUUAUGAGUGUAGACCAAAUGCGUAAGUAACGAUGCGCGUCUUGACGGUAUCGAUACAGAAAGCCACGGCUAACUACGU
rnacentral:rRNA from 1 species